UGGGGAAUAUUGCACAAUGGGGGAAACCCUGAUGCAGCGACGCCGCGUGAGGGAAGACGGUUUUCGGAUUGUAAACCUCUGUCUCUGGUGAAGAUAAUGACGGUAACCAGAGAGGAAGCCACGGCUAACUACGUGCCAGCAGCCGCGGUAAUACGUAGGUGGCAAGCGUUGUCCGGAAUUACUGGGCGUAAAGCGCACGUAGGCGGCUUUGUAAGUUAGAGGUGAAAGCAUGGAGCUCAACUCCAGAACUGCCUUUAAGACUGCAGCGCUUGAAUCCAGGAGAGGUGAGUGGAAUUCCGAGUGUAGAGGUGAAAUUCGUAGAUAUUAGGAGGAACACCAGUGGCGAAGGCGGCUUACUGGACUGUAACUGACGUUGAGGCUCGAAAGCGUGGGGAGCAAACA
rnacentral:rRNA from 1 species